UUAAUUGAAACCAAAGUAUAGAGGUAUAUCACUGUUAAUGAUACCAAUGAAAUAAAUUCCGAUUAAA
rnacentral:tRNA from 1 species